rnacentral:rRNA from 1 species
AGAAUCAACGCUGGCGGCGUGCCUAACACAUGCAAGUCGAACGAGAAAGUGGAGCAAUCCAUGAGUAAAGUGGCGACCGGGUGAGUAACACGUGACUAACCUACCUUCGAGUGGGGGAUAACCUCGGGAAACCGAGGCUAAUACCGCAUAACAUCGCAAGAUCAAAGCAGCAAUGCGCUGGAAGAGGGGGUCGCGGCUGAUUAGCUAGUUGGCGGGGUAAUGGCCCACCAAGGUGAAGAUCGGUA